GACGAACCGUGCGAACGUUAUUCGGAAUCACUGGGCUUAAAGCGCGUGUAGGCGGAUGAGCACGUCUGUCGCUGAAAUCCCCCGGCUCAACCGGGGAACGGGCGUGGAUACGGCUUGUCUGGAGGGGCGUAGGGGGACCUGGAACUUCCGGUGGAGCGGUGAAAUGCGUUGAUAUUGGAAGGAACGCCGGAGGCGAAAGCGGCGCACUGGAUCUCUUCUGACGCUGAGGCGCGAAAGCUAGGGGAGCAAACGGG
rnacentral:rRNA from 1 species